rnacentral:rRNA from 1 species
GACGAACGCUGGCGGCGUGCCUAAUACAUGCAAGUCGAGCGGACUGAUUAAGAGCUUGCUCUUAUGACGUUAGCGGCGGACGGGUGAGUAACACGUGGGCAACCUGCCCUGUAGAUCGGGAUAACACCGAGAAAUCGGUGCUAAUACCGGGUAAUAUCUGAGAUCACAUGAUCUUAGGUUAAAAGAUGGCUCCGGCUAUCACUACAGGAUGGGCCCGCGGCGCAUUAGCUAGUUGGUAAGGUAAUGGCUUACCAAGGCGACGAUGCGUAGCCGACCUGAGAGGGUGAUCGGCCACACUGGGACUGAGACACGGCCCAGACUCCUACGGGAGGCAGCAGUAGGGAAUCUUCCGCAAUGGACGAAAGUCUGACGGAGCAACGCCGCGUGAGUGAUGAAGGAGUGCGGCUCGUAAAGCUCUGUUGUUAGGGAAGAAACAGUACCGAACGAACUAGGUCGGUACCUUGACGGUACCUAACCAGAAAGCCACGGCUAACUACGUG